CCUUCUCUAAUAUCUCAACUGUAUAACUCCAGCUGAGCAGCUUCCAAUUCUUUCUUUUUAUCCUGCACCUUUUCUGAUAAAUCUCCAUAGCACCGUUUAUUGAAAUCUCUAAGCACAUGCUUCAAUCUUUUUAGCUUUAGGAAACUCACCUUCAUAGCAGUCCCCUCCACUGGCUCACUCCAAAAUUUCUCCACCAUUGUCAGAAAUUCUGGAUGAC
rnacentral:lncRNA from 1 species